AAACUGAUCGAUCUCUUUUCUCCUUGAAAACGGAUUUUUUUUUAAAUGUGUUUUUUUUUUAAAUUGAACAACCUGUGGCAUUACGAGUAGCGCAGGAAAGGAAACGUUAACUUCUUAAUUAUGAAUGUUCAUCACCCACAGUCCCUUUAAAGUCAGCCAUUUCCUGGCUGCUGUUUUAGUUUUGUGUCCUCAUUACGACUUCCUUUUGUUUUUUUUUUUGUAGUAAGAAUCAAGGCAAAAAGCGGNCAUUUGAAUGGAUGUCCCAUCAGUGGCAUUUACACAUGGGUUGAUGCAGUUCUUCAUUGGGAUGCUAGAGGAGGCAAGUGGGGGAGGGGAUUCUUGCUUGCAAACCCUCCUGCAGGUAGGACAGUAUCGAGCGGAGGCGUAGCAGGGGGACUGCCAGGGCAUUUGUCACCCAUCCCCUCGCGGAGGCACUGGGCAGCUCGGCCCAGUCUGUCUCGGUUGUAAUUCCGAUGUAUUUUUUUUAAAUGUAGAUUUGUUUUCCUCCUCCUAAGUAUUUCCAAUACAGAUCUGUACAGAGAACAAAACUAUAUCUAUAUUUUCAGUUGCCGCUUUUGUACAUCCAAAACUCCAAAGACCUCCCUGUGUCUAUCUCCUGAGGACUAAAUGAAGGUUGUGUUGUCCCCGCCGCAGCGCCUUGGCGGGGACAGCGCAUUGCCUGUUGCACAAUUUAUUUAUGUAUUUAAAUGUAUACCUUAGUUUGUAGCCUUUGCAGCAUCACAGCUGCUGCUUCGAGUGUCCUGCGUAACCAAGGUCUCGCUAAACUACCCCAAGUACCUACUGCCGAGUUCGUAUUUUUAUUACUGUAGCAAGAUUGGCACAUGAGUUCGAUGCAUCAAGACUGUCAAAACGGCAUUCAGAAUGGUAUAAUAUGUAGCAAUUUUUUGCACCUUUUUUCCCCCCCCAAGUGUCCCCAUCAAGAACUUUAAAACCAACCAAUUUCCCUGUGGUCUGGGGUAGCUGUGCCCAGAAUCCUGCUGUGACUUCAAUGGUUCUUGUAUCAUAGUUAUAGUGAAUUUCUGAAUGCAAUAAAAGUUGUAAAUCCUGAGGAAUAGUUAAGGUG
rnacentral:lncRNA from 1 species